GGGGCCGUAAAGGUUUCGACGGGGAUCCUGAAGCACGGUAAGCGAGUAGUGAGGGCGAAAUCACUUUAAUCGUCGCAACUUUAAAUUUAAACGCAGACGAAGAUCUCGUUUUAGCAGCUGCCUAAGGCGCUGCCGUCGGCUCUAGCAGUACCGCGGGCUUGAGUUCGGCGUCGACCAGCGGUGAACGACCUUUGCAAAUAGCCUUAUAGCUUUGGUUGUAUUAAAGGCUACCGGACGUGAGAGCCUGUUUGUCGGCGAUCACGCGAGGGAAUUUUAAAAGACAGACUGCACUCGGAGAAAACUUUGUGGACGGGUUUUCGGACAGGGGUUCAAUUCUCCUCGGCUCCACCA
rnacentral:tmRNA from 1 species